CUUCCCUCUGUUUUUGCUCUGAAUGUUUAUUUUCCAUCAGCUUGUAACAUCAUAACAUUAAUUGGUGAAGUAAUGUAUUAUCCAUGCCAUCUGGUUUAGUAGCAUUAGUGCUGUCAGCAUUAGUAUUCAGUCUAAAGAGAUACCGUUAUGUCAAGAGCCCUCUGCCUCAGCUUGUCUUGUUUUGCAGAACCUGCCUGGCCCCCACGCCCAGGCUCCCUCCGCAGUCCCAUAUGGUGAAGCAGACACAUAUGGUGAAGAGCACAUCUCCAAAUUUCAAGGAGUCACUCCUGACCUGAGUGGAGGCUCCUGAAGUUCCUAGGACCUCAGAGAAAAGCUAUUCAGGAAAUACAAAGACGUCAGAGAGGGUCGUUACCUUUAAGAAGCUUAGAGUCUAACAAUGAAGAUAAGACUUACGUUUAAAGUACUAGAAACAAAGCAGCAUGUGAAAAGUGUCCCAAGAGAGGUACAUCCAAAGGACUAAAGGGACUCAGAGGGGCUCAGAAGACAUUAUUUCCAACUGGAUUAAUGAGAAAAGGCUGGUGAGGCUCAGGACUUUGGAGUUACAACACUGUGCAUUUGAUUGGCCCAGGAGAGGGAAUGUUUGAGAGCCCUGGGAUCUCAGCAUGAGAUGGAGAAGGUGAAGCUCAAUGAAGAGGAGAAAAUGACGAGGGUGAACCAAUGUCUUGGUUUGGACCAGCUUGAAAUGAGUACAGAUUUCUGGGCCACCAGUGACUUUUCAUUGCAUGGAUCCAAAUACACCAGACAGAAUGCCGCUGCCUCGUGUAGGCUUUAGACUCCAGGGACAUUGCAAGCCACUGUCAGGGAAGAUGGUGGUAUUCUUACAACCCACCCUUAGAGGUCCCCUCUCUACCUCUCAAAGUUUCAGGAGGACCCAAGACCCAUAGCCUCG
rnacentral:lncRNA from 1 species